GAUGAACGCUGGCGGCGUGCCUAAUACAUGCAAGUCGAGCGAAGCGGGGACGGGUGAGUAACACGUGGAUAACCUCCUAUAAGACUGGGAUAACUUCGGGAAACCGGAGCUAAACCGGAUACUUAGGGAUGGAUCCGCGCUGCAUUAGCUAGGUGGUAAGGUAACGGCUUACCAAGUCAACGAUGCGUAGCCGACCUGAGAGGGUGAUCGGCCACACGGGAACUGAGAAACGGUCCAGACUCCUACGGUAUGCAGCAGUAGGGAAUCUUCCGCAAUGGGCGAAAGCCUGACGGAGCAACGCCGCGGGAGUGAUGAAGGUCUUCGGAUCUUAAGUCUCUAUUAUUAUUGAAUCGGUACCUGCUCAGAAAGCCACGGCUAACUACGUGCCAGCAGCCGCGGUAAUUC
rnacentral:rRNA from 1 species